AACAGUGACACGGGGUGCCCACCCAGGGCUGAGAACACACCCGUCGAACCUGAUCUAGUUCGUGCUAGCGAAGGAAUGUCGCGAAUGAGUAGU
rnacentral:ncRNA from 1 species